AAUCUUAUAUUCAAUUAUGAUUUUAAAUUGCAAAUUUAAAGGUUAAAUAUUAAAUAAUUUUAAGAUUU
rnacentral:tRNA from 1 species